AUCCGGCUGAUGAUUCCCGAAUAGGACGAAACGCGCUUACUGGAU
rfam:Schistosoma haematobium scaffold780_11, whole genome shotgun sequence.